rnacentral:rRNA from 1 species
GUCUAUGGCCAUGCCACUCUGAACAAGCCUGAUGUCUGAUCUCAGAAGCUAAGCAGGGUCAGGCCUGGUUAAUACUUGGAUGGGAGACCACUUACGAAGACCAGGUGCUAUAGGCA